rnacentral:lncRNA from 1 species
UUGAAGUUGCCUGUUUGUUUGCUGUACAUUGCUUUCAUUGUGUUUAUGAGAGAGAGAAAUGAGAGACACUAAAAUAAGAUAAGCUUCCAAUGCAAGGCCUUAUCUUCCCAUUUCAAACUCGCACUAGAUUGGGGAGAAUGCAAUUGCUUCAACAUAAAAGAGAGGGAGGAGUGAUGAGCAAAGAGGUGAAGUCUGGGCUGGUGAAACCCACAGAAACAGCUGAUCUGAUCAAGGGGGAGCACAUGGACCCCAGACUGAUGGCUGGGAGACCAGCAUGGGACUGAUCCAGAUCCCUGAACAUGGAUGUCAGUGAGGAGGCCUUGGCACUCUAUGUAGUAGAUAAUUAUUUAUCUAUGAUAUACGAAAGAAUUUUGGAAGCCC